GCGCGUGGAUAGAAGCAGAGUACUUGGCUACGAACCAAGGGGUCGUGGGUUCGAUCCCUGCCAGCCGCACCA
rnacentral:tRNA from 1 species